AUUUGUAGAGGAUGUUUCGGGUGUGGCUCCGGUCUAAGUUCCUUGGAACAGGACGUCAUAGAGGGUGAGAAUCCCGUAUGUGACUGGUAGCCUACGCUCAUGUGAAACUCCUUCGACGAGUCGAGUUGUUUGGGAAUGCAGCUCAAAAUGGGUGGUAAAUUUCAUCUAAAGCUAAAUAUUGGCCAGAGACCGAUAGCGCACAAGUAGAGUGAUCGAAAGAUGAAAAGCACUUUGGAAAAACAGUACGUGAAAUUGUUGAAAGGGAAAGCGCUUGCAACCCAGACUUGCAUGUAGCUGAUCAACCGGUGUUCUCACCGGUGCACUCAGUUACGUUUCAGGCCAGCAUCGGUUUCGACGGUUGGAUAAAAGGCCUUGGGAAUGUAGCUCCUCUCGGGGAGUGUUAUAGCCCAGGGUGCAAUGCAGCCUGUUGGGACCGAGGACCGCGCUUCGGCUAGGAUGCUGGCGUAAUGGUUGUAAGCGACCCGUCUUGAAACACGGACCAAGGAGUCUAACAUCUAUGCGAGUGUUUGGGUGUCAAACCCAUACGCGUAAUGAAAGUGAACGGAGGUGAGAACCCUUAAGGGUGCAUCAUCGACCGAUCCUGAAGUCUUCGGAUGGAUUUGAGUAAGAGCAUAGCUGUUGGGACCCGAAAGAUGGUGAACUAUGCCUGAAUAGGGUGAAGCCAGAGGAAACUCUGGUGGAGGCUCGCAGCGGUUCUGACGUGCAAAUCGAUCGUCAAAUUUGGGUAUAGGGGCGAAAGACUAAUCGAACCAUUAACAUGUAAUGUUAUUCUUACUAGGUGGUUAAUAGGCACAUAAAAAGGUGUGUCUAGUUCAGUGUAUUGAGCGAAAUCUCCAAAUUGCGGGG
rnacentral:rRNA from 1 species